GGCUGGGGGGCUGAAGCGCUGAAGUCUGGAGUAGUGGAGAUAGUGGGUGCGUUCCGUUUCAUGCAUAAUACGCAUGAUGCAUCGUUCAUCCUUGUUGUUUGUCAAACGUUAAACAAGGAUGAACAAUGCAUUAUGCGCAUCAUGCGUUGAAACGGAACGCAGCCAGUAAAAGUAAACAAUGCGAGCCUGCUCCAAAUUGUACGCAGCCAUAUAGCAGCUGGAAAUUUAAUUUUUAUUGUUCUUACUGAGUGUAUCGUCAGAAUAUAGUGACUCUCGAGAGUGCAGAGAUUGAAUUUAAACAAUGUAAAGAUAUUUUCCAAUACUUUUAUCAUUUAUUACAGACGUUGUCUUACUUUUUUUUUAAUCUUCACAAACGCACUUUAAUCUCAAGGCUACGUGUACUUUUCUGAAAAUUGUGAUAAAAUCAGCUCUAUAAAUAUUGAAGUUACACUGCUACAACUUUGGUCCGUUAUUUUCUGAAGAAUCAAAACUGUUUCUCUACAGAAAAAAUGUGCAGUCAAAGUCAGUAAGUGUUUGUGCAAUGUUACAACUCUGAUUCUUUACCUUUAAAAGAAUCGGAGCUGCUAUACAAAAGGAAUGUGCGAUUGCAUCUGAAUCAUCAAGUGUUUGAAAUUAAAGCGUUACAUGAAACUUAAUAGGCUUAAAAAAAUUUUAUAUGAGAUGACUCGAAUGAGGAAUGAACUAUUACUAUAUAAUUUAAUGAAACAUACUUAAUAUGUGGUGAAAAUUUAAUUAUUACAUUUAUUUAAUAAAAAUAUACAAAUUAUAAUACUGUAUUAUUAGUAUUAUUAUUAAUAUUACUGUAUUGAUGAUAAGAAACUGACUAAGGGCCUAUCCAGAUAAACCUGCAUCUUGCAUGUAUGCAAGUUUGUCUGAAUAGGUCCUAAAAAUCAAAUAUUGUCCUUAUGUAUAUGUAUAUUUUUAUAUAUAAUAAAUUAUAUAUCAGGAUA